UGAUAUCAAAUCAAUUCCAGAAGUUAGUACUUCUAUGCAGCCAUUUAGGAGAAAGAGAUCAGCUGCUGGUACACUGGUUGUGUGUCCAGCAAGUAUUCUUCAGCAAUGGGCAAGGGACUUGGAUGAUAAAGUUGCGGAUGAAGCUAAGCUUACUUUCCUUGUUUAUCAUGGAGGCAGUCGGACAAGGGAUCCUGUUGAAUUGGCAAACUAUGAUGUUGUUCUGACCACACAUUCUAUUGCUGCUAAUGAAGUUCCAAAGCGACCUCUAGUUGAUGAGGAUGAGGCUGAUGAAAAGGAUGGGGAGCAGUAUGGGUUAUCUUCUGAAUUUUUAAUUAAUAAGAAGAGGUGGAAGAUGACUAAUGUUAGUAAGAAGAGAAAGAAGGGUAGGAAGGGAAUA
rnacentral:misc_RNA from 1 species